rnacentral:rRNA from 1 species
AGUGAACGCUGGCGGCAGGCCUAACACAUGCAAGUCGAGCGGCAGCGGGUCCUUCGGGAUGCCGGCGAGCGGCGGACGGGUGAGGAAUGCAUCGGAAUCUGCCCUGUCGUGGGGGAUAACCUAGGGAAACUUAGGCUAAUACCGCAUACGACCCACGGGUGAAAGCGGGGGAUCGCAAGACCUCGCGCGAUAGGAUGAGCCGAUGUCCGAUUAGCUAGUUGGCGGGGUAAAGGCCCACCAAGGCGACGAUCGGUAGCUGGUCUGAGAGGAUGAUCAGCCACACUGGGACUGAGACACGGCCCAGACUCCUACGGGAGGCAGCAGUGGGGAAUAUUGGACAAUGGGCGCAAGCCUGAUCCAGCCAUGCCGCGUGGGGGAAGAAGGCCUUCGGGUUGUAAAGCCCUUUUGUCCGGGAAGAAAUCGUCUGGGCUAAUACCCCGGGCGGAUGACGGUACCGGAAGAAUAAGCACCGGCUAACUUCGUG